rnacentral:rRNA from 1 species
UCCUACGGGAGGCAGCAGUGGGGAAUUUUCCGCAAUGGGCGAAAGCCUGACGGAGCAAUACCGCGUGAGGGAAGACGGCCUAUGGGUUGUAAACCUCUUUUUUCAGGGAGGAAUUUUGACGUGUACCUGAAGAAUAAGCAUCGGCUAACUCCGUGCCAGCAGCCGCGGUAAGACGGAGGAUGCAAGUGUUAUCCGGAAUCACUGGGCGUAAAGCGUCUGUAGGUGGUUAAGCAAGUCAACUGUUAAAUCUUGAGGCUCAACUUCAAAAUCGCAGUCGAAACUGUUUGACUAGAGUAUAGUAGGGGUAAAGGGAAUUUCCAGUGGAGCGGUGAAAUGCGUAGAUAUUGGAAAGAACACCGAUGGCGAAGGCACUUUACUGGGCUAUUACUGACACUCAGAGACGAAAGCUAGGGUAGCAAAUGGGAUUAGAUACCCCAGUAGUCCUAGCCGUAAACAAUGGAUACUAGAUGUUGAACAGAUCGACCUGUGCAGUAUCAAAGCUAACGCGUUAAGUAUCCCGCCUGGGAAGUAUGCUCGCAAGAGUGAAACUCAAAGGAAUUGACGGA